CGACCGGCGCACGGGUGAGUAACACGUAUGCAAUCUGGCCGUCACAGGUGGAUAACCGGAAGAAAUUCCGACUAAUACAGCAUAACACUCCUGAGGGACAUCCUUCGGGAGUCAAAGGAGGCAACUCCGGUGACGGAUGGGCAUGCGGCGCAUUAGGUAGUUGGUAGGGUAACGGCCUACCAAGCCGACGAUGCGUAGGGGUUCUGAGAGGAAGGUCCCCCACAUUGGAACUGAGACACGGUCCAAACUCCUACGGAAGGCAGCAG
rnacentral:rRNA from 1 species